GCCCAGGUGGUGGAAUGGCUUACACGCAAGACUUAAAAUCUUGUGAGAGCAAUCUCAUGUGGGUUCGAGUCCCACCCUGGGCA
rnacentral:tRNA from 1 species